rnacentral:lncRNA from 1 species
GGUAAAGUGCUAGUUUACCAUAUACCAUACUCUAUUUUAAGUAUGUUUUUCUCUUCCCCUGAAAUGAGAUACCAGUGACUCCUGAAAAUACUGACAUACCGAGCAGAGUUGAAUUCACAAUGAAUAAAGCUACUGAAGAUGUUCUUUCUACCUGCAAUAUUAUUCUCCAUAAAUUUUGUUAAUACACCUUAAAUCUAAUGUUCUGUAGUUUAUUUGUGAACAAAAAAAAGAAUUGCACUUAAUUCGCUUAUCUUGUAAGUCUUGAUGUACAGAGAAUUUGCAAACCUGACCUGAAAAGGUAUGCCAAACAAACAAAAACUCCAACCCUACUCCAAAAAUAAAUAAAUAAAUAAAAGAACACGACAAAGAAGAAGGAGAAGGAGAAGAAGAAGCAGAGAGAGAGAGAGAGAUUAAACUCAAGAAAGCAUAUUAUAAGUUUUAGAUGCUUCCCAAUGAUAACAGGGAACAAAAUAAUGUUUAAACAAUUUUAUUGAACUACCAUGAGUAAUAAAAUGGCAGCAGUACGCUGGUCUUCUUCAU